GUGAGAUUUUUGUGCGACGUGGCCGAGUUAUUGGUUGCGACCUGAUAAAAUUUCCUAACUGCAAGAUUGGCUUUUUCGGGCCGAUUCUUUUUACGCACCGCUCACUUGGGU
rnacentral:ncRNA from 1 species